rnacentral:rRNA from 1 species
UACCAGCACCCCGAGUGGUCGGGACGAUUAUUGGGCCUAAAGCAUCCGUAGCCGGCCUUACAAGUCCUCCGUUAAAUCCAGCUGCUUAACAGAUGGGCUGCGGAGGAUACUAUAAGACUAGGAGGCAGGAGAGGCAAGCGGUACUCAGUGGGUAGGGGUAAAAUCCGUUGAUCCAUUGAAGACCACCAGUGGCGUAGGCGGCUUGCCAGAAUGCGCUCGACGGUGAGGGAUGAAAGCUGGGGGAGCAAACCGG